AUGCUAGACUCCUGUCUGCAAGGACAACAGAGCAUCAUUAAUAGUGUCAGGGAUGGGGUCUCUAGUUGGGCUGGAUAUUGCUUGGCCAUUCCCUGACACACUGCUCCGUCCCCAAUUCUUGCAUUUCUUGUAGACAAGAUAAAUUUCAGAUCAAGGGUUUUGUGGGUAGGCUGGGGUACCUAUCGCUCCACUGGGAUUCCUUCCUGGCUACAGGAGUUGGCAUCUUCAGGUUCCACAUUCCCGAUGUUGAGAUGCACAGCUAAAGUCACUCUCAUUGCUUCUUGGGUGUCUCUCCUAUCCCAGGUCUCCGGCACGUCCUUGAGAUGGCCCCCUACCUCACCACCCCUGCCAGUUGCAGAUUUCCAUUCAUUCUAAUGGCCAAAAAUUCUUGAUCGUGAGACCCACAGGAGGGAAAAGGCUUAGCUUGUGACAGUUGUUUUUGUGUAAUCCUAGAUUAACCGUAUUGGACAGGCUCGGGACCUGCUUUCCCCAUGUGUGGAGGACCUGCCAGUACUGGAUGUGGCCCCUCUGGGCUUGUAAGUGUUGAGACCCAAUGGGACAGGGGUGAAUGCCUUAAAGCCACAGUGACAUCUUCAAGAUAAGCUAUUAGAGGUUUCUACUCUGCCAUCCCAGGAAAAGGAAGCCCUGAGCUUGCAGGCACAUUUACUUGGGUCUAGAUGGGCUCCCAGAAUUCUCUUUCCACCCUCUUUCCUUCACCCCACACCUAUAUAACUUACUGUCCUCAUAUCAAAUAUAUUUCAACUCUCAUGCCCACCUUCAUGGCUGGAGUUAGUCCAGUAACACACUGAGUGGUCCUGAAUAUCUCAGCGAACAGUUUUUCCCAUCUUUGAAAUGGUCCUGACUAACCUGUUCCCCUUCCUGGGAAGAUCACAGGAGGUUAAAAAAAAAAAGAUAAAAAUAAUAAUAAAAAAAAGUUAGGAAGAUGAGAGACAUUUAAGGAGGUCUACUGAACCCCGAGCCUUUGGAGUGAUUCUUGUGUGCUAUAGACACUGUCAUGGGCUUCACACUCAGAGGUUGUUGCAUAGCACAGGCUAUGAAAGGCUAUGUUCAGCUUCCCCUUACUUCAGGGUGGUGAAAGAUGCCAGUGAAGUGGAAGUGUCUGAUGCCCGAGCUGCCUCUGAGCUGUACCUAAAGGCUGCUGUGGGUGAAGGCAGGUGAGGACCAAACAUCUGUCAUCCACGUAACCUCAGUCCCCGCACAGAUCUAGGAUUCCCUCCUGAGCUGGUCAUGUCCUCGGUAGGGCCUACUCUCUGCUCACUCUUACCAUGUCCUGCCCUGGGCCCGAGACCCAGCAACUGUGGCGAGGUACCUUGAGGAUCAUGCAGCUUCCAGGAGACCCGUAAGCCUCAGGGGGGGGUCUUGUGACGUUGGGAAGUGAGGUGGAGGCCAAAGUAUGGAUAUGAAUCUAAACGUCCGAAGUUGAAACUGGAACAUCCCCAAGUAGCCAGACCGUCUUUAUGCCCUGUUCCCUCAAUGUUCAAAAAUAAUGAAGACUUGGAGUAGUCACAGCAAAUAAUCACUUCAGGCCAAUUUGCAAGAUGCAUAAGCAUCAUGGGAAUAUUGCCAAAUUCAGAAGUGUCUAAAAACAAAGUUGAAACAAAUAAAGGGGCAAAAGUAACC
rnacentral:lncRNA from 1 species